UACGAAGGGUGCAAGCGUUACUCGGAAUUACUGGGCGUAAAGCGUGCGUAGGUGGUUUGUUAAGUCUGAUGUGAAAGCCCUGGGCUCAACCUGGGAAUUGCAUUGGAUACUGGCAGGCUAGAGGACCGGAGAGGAUAGUGGAAUUCCCAGUGUAGUGGUGAAAUGCGUAGAUAUUGCUCGGAAGGCCAACGGCGAAGGCAGGUUACUGGUACGCAACUGACACUGAGGCACGAAAGCGUGGGGAGCAAACAGG
rnacentral:rRNA from 1 species